CUGUUACUUCUGGCUCAGCCAGCCAAUAGAAGCCUGAGUCUCCAACGGCCUGGCCCUGCUCUUACUGGUUGAAUUAUAUAAGUAAGGUAGUCAACAGCUCCUUCCAGUUUUCUGCAAGCAUGUUUAAUAUUCCUUCCAGUCCAAGUAAUUUAAGAAGAUUCUAAAGAGCACACGGCUGAAUAUGGAGCCCUGAGGAACCUCAUUAGUUAUGGGUCACCAGUCUGAUGUAAACCCAUUAACUAUAAGCCUUCAUGUCCUUCUUCCCUCAGCUGGAGGUGUGGGAAGGAAGGAGAUGAAGCAGCAGUGCAUAGUUUCAGUGGGAGCACUGAAUUGAAGAAUACCAUUCCUAAACCACGAUAUAAGAGAAUAAGAAAAUGUGAACUGUUGGUGCUAGAACUUGGAGAACUGUUGGAAAGGUGAACCCAACACCAGAGCCAAGAGGUAGAAAUUAACCAAGUUUCUGUAUGACAAUGCUUACUGUAUUAUUAGUGAGACUUUCCCCUUUUCUGAGCUAAUUUUGAAUACUGUUGUGCUAUUGAAACAUUAAUGUGAUUAACAUAAUUGUCUUGGUUCUAUAUAUCUUAUUUCUUUUUGUCCAUUACAAUGGUUUUAGUGUAACAUUAAAUUCCAAAGUCCCGUCCUUAAAUGUCAUACAAAACACAUUUCCAUUGUAUAAUUACAUUGAUAGUUGUAUGUGAGGCGUUCAGAAUGAUCAAUAACCAUUUGCAAAUGACUUGGACAAUUUUUGGCUCAGAAGUUAACACAGAUAUUAAAUUCUUCUUGUGUUAAAGGCUGGGAGACAACAGUGAAUCAAGUGCAGCAUGCAUACAAAAAUUAAAAGGAAAUCAAACCUAUGUUUAAAAUAGAAAUCAGCUCCUUAUCUAGGCUCAAUGUAAAAAAAAUCACUCUGAAACGUUGUUUUACUAUAUAAAGCACAUCAGUGCAAUAUUAUAAUUUUUAAAGGUAUUUGUAUGCAUGUGGUAUCUGAGAAGUACCUAGGAACAGAGAAAUUGUGUGUGUAAUUUGAUACGAUAAUCUCCUUCUUUUAGGGUACAGAUGUUUCUUCUAAGACUAUAUAAAUGGUUCUCAUUUGCCAUCAGAAUAGAAAAACUUUUUUCGCAUCUCCCCACCCUUUCAUUCAAAUGUUUUAUUUAUUUAUUAAAUACAUUCUUCUCUUCAGUAUCAUGGUAUAUUUUAAUAAUAUAAAACAGCCCAUUGAAUAUUUUGUUCCUUCUUCUUCUUCUUCUUCUUCUUCUUCUUCUUCUUCUUCUUCUUCUUCUUCUUCUUCUUCUUCUUCUUCUUCUUCUUCUUAGUAGAACUACUACUACUACUACUUAGAAAACCCCAAACAUAAAUAAGGAAGCUCAGAGAAGCAUGCAUUUAACAUUGCAGUAAGUCUCAUUUAAAAACAGUAAAUCUUGAACAUUUAAAUAAUCUUAUAAUUUGAAGAUGUACUUCUUUAAUAUUUAUUAAAUCCCCUAAGACUCAUCUAUUAUUACAGUUCUAAAAAACCCCACACUUAACUCUGACCACUUAAUUCAAGCUUUCUAAUUCUACUUUUUAAAUAAUUCUGUUUCUCCUGGAAGUCAGAGGUAUGAAAGAAUCUAGAAGACAGGGCUUGGCUAUUCUAACCUAACUAUAUUGAGGUAGUUUAUUUACCAGUAUGAAUGGCUACUAAAAAGAUAUAAUUGAAUUUUCUAAUUAUUGAUGGAAUUAAUUUCAAAUAAGUUCUCAAAAUUUUCAUCAUUAAAAUAUACUUGGAGAUAAGAUAUCAAAAGAAGGAGGCAUUUAAAAUGUCCACAAGUGAAAAAGAAGAUAUUUUGUCAUCUUAUUCCAUAACCUUACUCCAGUUUUUCCUAGCUUUGCAAAACAUACUACCGCCCAUGUCCCCUAAUUCCCAUUAGUUAGUAUUACAAUUGUUUGUACUUCAAUUACUUAUGAAAAACUUCCCCACAAAGAUUUCACCUUUAUGAGAAGAAGCAUUUUAUUUUGUGUUUGAGCAGUAACCACUCAUGUCUGUGCAAUUAAAGCAGAAUGUUUCAGUUUAACAUCUCUAACACAAGAGAACACUAAAUGUGCCUUUUCCAUUAGGGAUCAAAAGCAAACUACAGCAAUAAACAGGAAAGCAAUUUCAACAAUGCAUCAGAGGAUCAUGUGUUCUGUUACCGCAGACACAGACACAUGUACACAGGCCCUGGAGUGAUCAGCUCUACAGUGCUGGGUAAAAUCUGCAUGACUGAGAAAUGGCACUUGAGCAAUUACUGAGUUACACUUCUUAGGCUCGCUGCUACUCUCUAAUUGACCGCAUAGGGGAAGAGUUCCUGUUUGUUUUUUUCAAAGGUUUUGUUGUUAGAUUUAACAUAACACAAAACAAUUAGAGAUUUUUGUAUCUUCAGUGCUAUGCGUACACCUUGAAAAAGUAUAUAUUAUGUUUCUUUAGCAUUAUUUCAGGUGAUACUACAUAAUACAUCUUUACAUACUUGUUUUUCUUCUUUUUUUAACACAUUAGGAAACAGCUGAGCUACCUUUGAGGCUCACCCCAUAAGGUGGAUUGUAGCCAUGAUAUUUUAUGAAAAAUCCUCUGCUGGGAUUUUUCCCUUCCUGAGGAGCUGGGAGCCUCAGGAAAGAAAUGUAAACAAUAACUAUCUGCUGCUGUGGAAUGCCACAGGUGCAUCUUCCAUUGGUCCAUGUGGAUUGUUUUCAAUCAGUGACCAAUCACAGCCACCUGUGCCAAGGUUGUGAGCAGUCACAGGAUUUUGUUAUGCAUUCUAUUCUAUUCUAUUCUAUUCUAUUCUAUUCUAUUCUAUUCUAUUCUAUUCUAUUCUAUUCUAUUCUAUUCUAUUCUAUUCUAUUCUAUUCUAUUCUUGUUCUUUGUAGUCUUCUGAUCAUCUUCUCUCUCUGUUCUUUUAGUAUAGUUUUAAUGUAGUAUUUUAAUAUAAUAUAAUAAAUCAGCCUUCUGAGAAAAAUGGAGUCAAGCCUCGUGUCCUCACACAUGGGUGGUUCGCCACAACAGUGGAUUACCUUCCCCUUUCUGUGUUAGCCAUUUAGAGCCCAGUAGACAGUCAACUUUUAGAGUACUUGGUUUAUCACGUUUUACCAUUUCAUGAUACAGGUCCAGUACUUUCAAGCAAAUACUUCAGCCAUAACUUGGUUAGGGAAAAAAAUCCCUUUAAUUUCAACACAGAUUUUGCUUCCAAUGCACUAGAAUAUUUUAAACAAACAACUUAUUUUCUCACAUCUCUUCAUGUAAGAAUAACAAAAAUCAGAUCCAGUGUUGUAUAGACACAAGGGUGCAGUGAUGAUCUGUAAAAUUAAUCUACUUGAUUAACAUUUAGCUUCUACAAGUGUAAUAAUACUAAUAUUAAUGUGUCAUGUUGUUUUGGUCAGAAGGGUUGGUUUUUGGGGUUCUCUUAAAUGGAGUGUUGGUCAUCUGGCAGCAUGAUUUCAAGAGUAUCACACAGAAUGAGGAAGAAUAAAAUGUGUUCUUGAAGACCAUUCAAGAACUACUUUAAAAAUAUAAGAGUAUUCUGACAAUGGAAAUUAUAUUUAGGAGAUGUUGAAUCAAUCUAUCGUCAUUCCUGCCCCACCUUUUUACUUUCAUAAAUGUACCCAUUUAUUUUUGACUCUUAGAAACUUGGAAGGUUUACAUAAAUGAAGUCUGUGAGCCUUUACUCUGGUGAGAUUUCCUUUACAAAGUCACAGAAUGUCUGAUUUGAUUUGGCAGGAAGUUUAAAACUUUAACAGAGAAAAACUUUGGAAAUUAGCCUUUUAAGAAAAGAAGAUUUUGUUUUAUGAAAGAUUCUAUCAGUAUGCAAAAUUCUUCCUCUAAACCCUACUUGAGUGCUUUAAAUGAUGAACAGUGAAAUUUCAAAAGAAGAUAUAAAAUAAAUGGAACCUUUAUGCCAUAUCCAAUAUUCAAGUACUCUGGAUUAUUCUUUAAGUGAUUGCUAUUCAAUCCCUUAAAAGUAGCUUACAUUGUGUAUAGUAGCAACAAUGACCAGAAAACUUUGAAGUGUUUCUGUAGAAGAGUAAGAAAUAUCACCUCUAAAGCUGAGACUCUUCAUUUUCCUCAUAGAGCAUGGAGUUUAUUUAAAAAUGAAAGAACUUCAGCAGAACGAAUAGUAUUGAAUAGAACUUGCAGAAUAAGAAAUAAUGUUUGAUACUGGAGAGUGUUGUUUGGAAAAGUAGGAAACCUACUAGUAAAUGGUGAUGCAAGAUUAGCCACUGUGGCUAAAGAGAUGCUUUUUGUAAUCUGAAUUUAAAACACCUUAACAUUUUGGUGGAUAUUGGAAGUAGAGUUUCAUUUUAUUACUUGGUUCUUGUUGAAAACUGAUUAAUUAAUAUGCCUUCAAGUGUUCAGAUUUUUAGGAUUCAGCUUAGGAAAAUAUUUCUUCAAGCAAUUUUCUGCUAGAUCUUGCAACUCCAGGUUAGUUUAAAAAAUAUGUUGAAUUUACUGGUGGAAAGAGUCACAAAGUGAGAUCAUAAGUAAAAAAACAUUUUUACUUGGGAUGUUCUACAGUGUACACAUAAGGUUUUAGAAAGGUUUUAAAUGUUUCCUUAAGUUCUAAAAGUCUUGAAAUAUUAAUGUGUCUGAUUCUUUUUGCUGGGAUAUCUUUAUUAAAGAAGCAGAUUACUGAAGAAUCUAGUGGUUUUCCUUUUUUUUUUAAAUUGUAUUAAAGAUUCUGUAUUUCUGGAGGAACUUCAUUUACCUCCUUUUAAAAUUCAAUUAAAUACAAAGUACUGUAGAGUCCUACCUUUUGCUCUGCCUAUACAGUCAUUUCUAUGUUCUAUUAUGCAAACUAACAAGCAUCAAAUGUUUCAAACACUUCCUCACAGUAACAUUUGCAGUCUGUAAAUUAAAGACGUGAAAUUCUCAGGAGUAUGUUUAAUAAUGCUUUGAUUAUUCUAUUUCAUCCUAUACUUUAGUUUUCAAGGUUGUGCGGAAACAGCAAAUGACCCAAAAAAAAGAUAAUUUAGGUCAGUCAAGUACAUAUUUGGAAGAGCUGUAAGAUUUAGUGUGCCAAAAAUUACAAAAUAAAAUAUAGAUGAAAAUUAAAUAAAUUAAAGCAAAGAUAGAGAUAUAUCAAAUAACUGAGGAAUUAAUGCAUUCAAUGUACGCUUUCAGCACAUUAUGUAGCUAGGAGAGUUCCCAAGCUAUUUCCAAGUGUAUGGCUUAUGUUUUUCAGUUAACUGAGAAACUCACGAGACUUUGGACUGUUAAAUUACUUUUAAGGAAGGAAUAUAAGACUUUUUAUAACAGUGGUUUGUGGUUUUUUUUUUCCUUUUCUUUUUUCUUCUGCAGAAAAAGCUUUGAAACAACAUUUAAAAAUAUUUAUCAAAUUUACCAGCUGGCUGUAGGUAGCUUAUUUCUCUGGAUUACUUCUGGAGUGGCUAAUGAUAAGUGGACUCAUACAUUUAUAGGGCUCAUAUAGGUAUACAUGGCAUACAUUUGCCCUUGUGAGAGUCAAGACUGUUAUUGAUUAAUGACUCAAAACAUUUGCCCAUUUGUGGAGGCUCCAGUGUGCUUUGCUCAGGCCAGGUUUGCAUCCCUUGAGGGGAUGAUUUUGGAUAUGUAAUGGCUAGCCUGCAUACACAGAGGAAGUGAACUGUUACUGUCUGGAGGCUACAAAGGAGGCCUUGGGGCUGAUAACAGGCAAAUCCUGCAAGGCAAGAUGGUGCCUCAUAUCACGCUAAUUGCACUUCCUUACACAACUCACUCAGUUGCAAAACUCCCUCUCUACUCCCCAGGAAAGUCUGAUAGGGCUUUACUACCUGGGCUUUGACUGCCCUAAUGUAAGGCAGCUGUCAGGUCUUAAGAAGGUCACCAAAGAGCACCCAGACUAAUUUCUGAGGCCUUCCACCAGAGGACUGGAGGAUCCCCCACCAAGACAGGUAUCUAGGCAUAUUUUGAAAUAUUAGACUUUGUGCUUUGCAGAAUUUUUCCCACAGCCCCAGUGGAUCAAGACUCUAACCAUGACUUCAACAAACAGAUAUCUAGGCUGCAACAAUCAAGUCUCUUCACAAGAUCUACAGAUGGUGAUGUUUUUACUUUUAUUUUUUCUCUCUUUCUUUGUUCUCCCUUUUAAAUUUUGUUAAGUAGUAUUUUUAUGCUUUCAUAUUGAUCUAUUAUUCUAGAUAAUAAUAACUGAAGCAGAUAUGUAUAUGCAUUCCAUUACACCCAAAUUGUUCUAAAAUAAACCCUACAUAUAUAUAGUUACAAACAUUAAACAUUCGGUGUCUUGUCACUCUGAUCCACCCCCAGGGAUCCAUUAACAAAAACCUGGCUUACUCUUGCCUUCAUGGGGGUGGGUGAUAACAACACCUCAACUUUAGUCAGUUUGGGAUUUAAGACCUUUGUGCAUCAUUAUUUUAUGGCCAUAUGAAAAAUAAACCUUUCUAGAUGCUCAGCUUUAACACUGCACCUCUUUACUAUUGCUUUUUUUAUUAUUUGUUCAGCUACUGUUGGGACAGGAAUUCCUAGUACCUGCAAGACCACCACUGCCUGCCCCACUGAAGCCAUAGGACGUCAGUCUUAAAAGUCCUGCCCUGCACAGCCAUAGGCCCCACUGGCUUUUGCCUAUCCCAGUCCCCAGGGAGGUGUUCUGAUAACCUGGAUCUGGACUGUAUGUGGCUGCCCUUCAUUCUGUCCUCUCUCCCUGGACAGAGGCAAUAGGAUGAGCUCUGGCUGUCUAGGUCCUGCUCUGUCAUCCUCUCAAAAAGUCUGCUAAUCACAGAACCACAGAAUGGGUUAGGUUGGAAGAGACCACAGUGGAUCAGCUAGUCCAAUCUCCCUGCUCAAGCAGGGUCAUCCCCGAGCACAUUGCACGGGUUUGUUUCCAUAUGGUUCUUGAAUAGUCCCCACAGCCUCUGGGGACAACCUAUUCCAGGGGGUGGUCACCUGGAAGUGAAGUUCCUCCUCAUAUUAAGGUGGAACUUCCUGUGCAUAAUUUUCUGUCAGUUGCCUCUUGUCCUACUGCUCCAAGCCUGGCACCAUCCUCUUAACACCCUCCUUUCAGGUACUUAUGUAUAUUGAUGAGGUCCCCUUUCAGUCACUUCUUCUCAAGAUGGAACAGGCCCAUCUCCCUCUGCCUUUCCUUGUAAGGAGAUGCUAAAAUCACUGAACCAUUUUGUUACAGUCUACUGGAGGUGCUCCAGGAGCAUCAUAUCGUCUCUUGAACUGAGAAGCCCAGAUCUAGACACAGCAGCCAAGUCUCCCCAGGGCUGAGUAGAGGGGCAGGAUCACCUCCCUUGAUCUGCUGGCAAUGCUCUUCCUAAUGAACCCCAGGACACCGCUGGCCUUCUUGGCCAACAGGACACAGUGCUGGCUCAAUGUUGUCCACCAGGAUGCCCAGAUCCUUCUUUUCCAUAGAGCUGCUUCCCACCAGAUCACCUCCCAGCCUGUUGUGGUGCCCAGGUUAUUUUUGCCCAGGUGGAGAACCCUGCAUUUUCCUUUGUUGAAUUUCAGACAGUUCUUCUCUGCCCAUCUUUCCAUCCUCUCCAGGCCCCUCUGAAGGGCUGCACGGCCCUCUGGGGUAUCAGCCACUGCUCCCAGCUCUGUGCCAUCUGUGAACUUGCUGAGGAGGCCUCUGCCCCUUUGUCCAGGUAACUGAUGGGAAAGUUAAACAAUUCUGGGCCCAGUGUUGAAUCUUUUGGGACAGCACUAGUGACAGACCUCCAAUUAGAUUCUGUGCCACUGAUUGCAGCCCUAUGGGAUCAGCCAUUCACUCAGUUCUCCCUCCACCUUACUGUCCACUCAUCCAGCCUGAGCUUGCCCAUGAGGAUGUUGUGACAAAAGCCUUGCUGAAGUCAAGGUAGACAAUAUCCACUGGUCUCAUCCAUCUACCCACCCACAGGGCCCUCGCAGAGUUCCCAGGCCCUGGCACCAUGACAAAUUCUUACAUUUAUUACUUUUUUGUUUGUUUGCAUUUCUUUCUGUAAUAUUUUAAUGAAUAUUCCUGUGAUAAUCUUGAAUGUUAUGCCACUACUGACAAAAAUUUUAAAAAGACAUUUUUUCUUCACAGAAUAUUUAAAUUUUAAGCCAUGUGAAGAGAGUACUUUGACUCAUCAAGAUUAGUGUAUACAGUGCACACAUAAGAAUGGCGCAACAGGACAGCUGGAUAAACAGAAGGUUUCUAAUGUGUAUGUUCAUGAUUUGGAAAUCAGCAAUUUCUACUGCAUUGGUAGAAGUAGCAUGUUCUUUGACUUCAAAAUUGAUUAGAAUCCCAUAUAAAGAGAGAACUGCAGAUUUUCUGUUCUUGAAAGAUAAAGCAACAGGCAAGAACCCAAAUCAAAUGACUAAACAUUAUUUUUCUUGUGUGUCCGAGUUAGAAACAUGAGAUUUUCUCAUUGUUAUUCACCCCAAUUUCAAGAAACUUUCAGUGGAUUUAUGUAGAGGAGAUAAACCAAAGUGUCCCAAAGAAAAGCAAAAUUACUAAAAAAUUUUAGUAAUAAAUAAAAAGAAUAAAAUCACAUAUCUAUUAUAUGGAAACACAGGAAUACCUGUGUUUUACAUAGAUUAAUAAGAGAAGGGGAGUAGCAAAACAUGAACAACUUUUUCAGUCAUGAAAAACCUGUUGGAAUGUGGCUUUUUUCCCAUUGCAAUUAAAAUUUAUAAGAUAUGCAAAGGUUUCUGAUGACCUUAAAAAAUAAAAUAAUAUGACAUUGAAUUGAUUUAAUUUAUGAUGUAAAUUGAUAUAAAGCAAAACAUCAAUUUAUUCCUUGCACAACACACUGUAAAAUAACCACAUUAAAGCAGAAGUAAACAUAGUAAAAAAGGGACAUUUCAAUAUUCUUGAAAUUGAAAGGCGUAGUAAUUAGCUGGGUGCCAUUUCAAUCUCAGUUAACACUGAUUAAAGCCAAAACCUCAGAUGACAUGCACAGCUGCGAUAAAUUAACUUUAUCUGAGUUGCAGUAGUUAGCAAGGAUAAACUGUCUGUUCCCCAUGUUCUGCCUGAGUAUUUCCAUAUUGUAAAAUUCUCUUUUUCACAUUCUAGUGAAGUUAACACAGAACUUAGGAUGCAGUUGCUCAAAUACAAAGGCCCACGCAGACCUGUAGAAGAUCAAUUCUUGAAAAGUAUAAAUCAAAUCUCUAAUUAAGGUACAGACUUUAAAGCAGUUUGAAAAUGUCUUUCCUGUAAAUGCUAGGAAUUUGAAACACUGCUGUGUUUUACAAAACAUUUUCAGUUCCUCCCUCAUGUGACUGAGAAAGACUGAAGCUCUUUAGGUUUCCAAAUGUUAUACAGAAUUUAGACUUCUCUUUAUAAACCCCUUAAAAGAGGGAAUUAUCUAUUGUAUAAAAUAUAAAGAAAUGGUGUGAGAAAACACACCUCCAUCAAAGAGGAGAAGACAAUAUGAAAAAUUCACCAAUUUCAAAUUUUGAAAUAAUUCCAAUACAGCAGAAUUACAUGAGAAUCCAAGGAAGCAAAAAUUAAUUGAAAGAUAUUACAAAUAAAAACAUUUGUGAUAAAUUUGUGUAAUCAGAAUUUAUCUUUCUGAAUUACUGAAUAAAUAUUAAUUUUAAUGAAAAUAAACACGUUGAUAAAGUCUGCUAAUUUCUAACUAUAUUUUAUAAUAUGGGUAAAUAAAAAUUUGCUGGCAAGUCUGCCUAUUAGUUCUCAACAGUUUCAUGCAUGAAAACUCAAUAGUUUUCAUUAUUGAUACUGAUGAAGUUACAGGAGCCAAGAUUACUGUUAUUUUUUUUCUUACCAAGCAUAGGCAUGUAGACAAAUAUCCAAUUACUACCAGAAGAACUAGUAAUUUUAGGGUUUAUGUAUUAUAGGUAUUAUCUCAGACUUAGCAGGAGGUUUACAAAGCUGGGGGAGAAGAACAUAUCAGUGAUAACAGACACAAAGAAUACAGAAUUUAUUGGCCACCAGGAAAGUAAAUUCAGCAAAUUUGCUGAAAUCAGCGUCUACUGGGCAAACAUAAUUCCAUAAAGCAUGGAGAAGACCACAGCUGCUGAUUCACAGCCCACCUACUCAAGAAACCCACUGACUGAAGAGAAGAGAAAAAUUAACAUGGGACUAAUUAGCAUGAGAUAUGAGGAAAUCAUUUAGCCAAUAGAAUAAGAGAACUAUGUAGCCAUUGGGCAUUAAUUCCUUUAUUAGCUAAAAUGUAUAAAUAAUGAAAAACUUUUAAUGGCAUUGGGACAUCUACCACCGAGAAGCUCAGGGUGAAGGACCAAUGGGAUGCUGCUGGAUCCACUAUGAUAACAAGGUGAUGACUGUCUUCUGCUUUCUGUUCCCUUCUACCCCCUACGCGCCCCCCCCCCCCCCAUCUUUCUAUUUCUUUCUAUACUUGUACCUCAUAUUGAUCAUUAAAUCAAACCCAUAUUAUUGACUUUUCCAUAUGGUGAUGUUUGCCCCUUAGUUCAGGCUGGGCAGAAGCAUGUCUCACUAAUCAGAUAUUAAGAGAAGGAAAAAAUGGCUUUGAAAUAUUUUGAAGUACUUUUUGACAUGUAUCCAUUUUGGUGGGCUGUUUGGCAUACUUUAAGUGUAAAAAAAUCAAGCAAAAUGUGAGGCAGAAUAUGAUUGUAAGAAACUGGAUCUGAACACUCCAUGAUCUAAGCGCUUUUUAUACUGUAUGAACGUGUGUAAUGAGUGUGUUUGUACUCAACGUUAAACUACAUUUUGGCAAAUUUUCUUAUGCAAAUUUUUGUAAGCUGUUUCAAAGUAGCUUUAUUAAUACUGUAAGCUUGUUUGUAUUUCCUAGAAAACUUUAAUAGAAUUAUUCACUGAUUUGACAGAAAAAUAGCAAGUAAGAAAAAAUAAUCUGAAUAAAAAUCUGACAUUAUGUGCAAA